rnacentral:rRNA from 1 species
GAUCCUGGCUCAGGAUGAACGCUAGCGACAGGCCUAACACAUGCAAGUCGAGGGGCAGCGGAGAGGUAGCAAUACCUUUGCCGGCGACCGGCGCACGGGUGAGUAACACGUAUGCAAUCCACCUGUAACAGGGGGGAUAACCCGGAGAAAUCCGGACUAAUACCCCAUAAUAUGGGCGCUCCGCAUGGAGAGCCCAUUAAAGAGAGCAAUUUUGGUUACAGACGAGCAUGCGCUCCGAUUAG